rnacentral:rRNA from 1 species
UACGUAGUGUGCGAGCGUUGUCCGGAAUUAUUGGGCGUAAAGAGCUCGUAGGCGGUUUGUCGCGUCGAAUGUGAAAACCCGGGGCUCAACCCCGGGCCUGCAUUCGAUACGGGCAGACUAGAGUUCGGUAGGGGAGUCUGGAAUUCCUGGUGUAGCGGUGAAAUGCGCAGAUAUCAGGAGGAACACCGGUGGCGAAGGCGGGACUCUGGGCCGAUACUGACGCUGAGGAGCGAAAGCGUGGGGAGCGAACAGG